rnacentral:rRNA from 1 species
GUCUACGGCCAUACCACCCUGAACGCGCCUGAUCUCGUCAGAUCUUGAAAGCAAAGCAGGGUCGGGCCUGGUUAGUACUUGGAUGGCAGACCGCCUGGGAAUACUGGGUGCCGUAGGCU